rnacentral:rRNA from 1 species
GUCCACGCCGUAAACGAUGGGCACUAGGUGUGGGAGGUGUCGACUCCUCCCGUGCCGUCGCUAACGCACUAAGUGCCCCGCCUGGGGAGUACGGCCGCAAGGCUAAAACUCAAAGGAAUUGACGGGGGCCCGCACAAGCAGCGGAGCAUGUGGUUUAAUUCGACGCAACGCGAAGAACCUUACCUGGGCUUGACAUGUUGGUGACCACCGUGGAAACACGGUUUUCCUUCGGGACACCAUCACAGGUGGUGCAUGGCUGUCGU